rnacentral:rRNA from 1 species
AGCGAACGCUAGCGGCGAGCUUAACACAUGCAAGUCGAGCGGAGGGUUUCGGCCCUCAGCGGCGGACGGGUGAGUAACACGUAGGUUACGUGCCCCUUUGGUGGGGAAUAACUUAGGGAAACCUGAGCUAAUACCGCAUAUGCCCUUCGGGGUGAAGUACUUCGGACGCCAAGAGGAUCGGCCUGCGGUCCCAUUAUUUAAUCCUUGUUGGUGGGUAACGGCCUACCAAGGGUACGGAUGGGUAGCUGGUCUGAGAGGAUGAUCAGCCACACUGGGACUGAGACACGGCCCAGACUCCUACGGGAGGCAGCAG